ACGACUAUGCUCGGCUAAAUCUAGGUAACACAAUUUUAAGAGACGGAUGCAAAAAAUAAAACCUAAACUAAACAAGGUUGACGACAAAGAAAAUGAAAAAAGAAGCAGAGGGGGAUAAAGAUUUGAACUCGUUUUGUUAUUGGUAUUUCAGAUUACUACUGACAGCAUAGACUAAAACAAGAGGGAAGUAACAUGACAAGGACACAUAUAUAACUAUCAUACAUAUAACAGAGGGAAGAAACAAUAAUAUGACAGGGACAGAAAUAUAUCAAAACACGAACAUAUAUAUUUAUAUCAUAGGUACAAAGCUAACAACCACAAACUGAACACUAGACACCAACAGGAAUAUAAAGCACAAGUACGGGGCUCACAUCACACUAGCCAAUUCACGCUGACAAAUAUUAGUACAACAAUAAUAGACACAAGGAUUCAGACACUAGAAACCAAAUAUUGUAUAGUUUUCCACAAGUACAUUGAAAUUAUAGCAGACCAUAAAACACACGAAGGCACCAAUAAUGUGUGCAGAACAGUACACCAUAUUCAUCAUAAUGAUUUUAGAAAUUCGUGAGAAGUAAAGAGAGAAAAGGGGAACAACAACAGUUGGGGUCCUAGAAGAAUACGGCAGCAAGAGGGGUUCAGAGCAGAGCUUCAGCGAGUGAGGAGCAGCAAGGGGGCACUGGCGAAGAGCAGCAGCAGGUUGGAGAUUAGAGUAUUAGCAGCAGCAGGGGCGUCAGGGAGAGAGAAGCAGCAGGUUGAGGCAACAAAAGCAAGGGGAUGCAAGGAGAAGGAGCAGCAGGAGCGUUGAGAGAAGAAAAAGAAGAAGAGCAAUAGCAGGGUUAGGAGUUCAGGGAAGAAGACAACAGCAAGAGGAGGAGUAGAAGGGCAUCAGGGAGAUGGGGGAAGAGGGCAACACAGGCGUUGGGCGCGUGAUGGAUCAGGCACCGCCGGCCCUCUGUCUGGUGAGUUGCGUGAGGUGGAUGUGGUGCGGAUGGAUGGAUGGGUGGUGAUGCUGGUUGUGGUGGAGUGGUGGAGCUGGUGACAUGUCGCCACGCCGGCCUGGCCGCGGCGGCGGCCGGAGGUGGAGAAGGAGGGAUGAGGGAGAGAGAUGUGUGCCAGGCUCGGUUUCGAAAUGGAGGCUGCUAGGGAUUUUGAUCCCCUCCCUGAUCUGCCAUUUUGCACUUUUGCCCUCCUUCUUCUCUUCUUCAGCCUCAAGUAGAUCCCUUUCUUCUUUAGUGUUGGCCCUUCGUUUCAUUAAUUCUUCAUACUCGAGUCCCUUCGCAAAAUGCAGCAACCACAACCUCUUAGACACUGUAAUAUAGAAGGAUUUGGGCCUUUUCGCCAUUUUCUGCAAAAGAUGGAGUAGUGUUGUAAAUGUGACAUAAUAUGCGUAUUUGAAUAUCUUUCGAGUAAAUAAUAUGAAAAUAUGAUUACAAUUUGAUGCAAAAAGGCUAAAAAGAUUAUAUGAGGAAAUUCUAUAGCAAGUUCCCCCACACUUAAAUCUUUCUUGUCCUCAAGCAAAGGCAUAUCACAAGAGCAAGAGUAUGAAUAGUGAACUGACUAGAGAAGGUCCUAGUAAAGUAGAUCUCCAAACAAUGCAUGCUUCAGACUUAGUUAGUGAAGAUUAAUGGUUAGGAUGCUACAAAGCAAUAGGAUACUAGUAGACUCGAUCAUUUUAAACUUUUACAAUGAUAAAGUGGAUCAACAAGUUUAAAUGCAGAUUGUGCCAAAAGGUUCCUAAAGAGAGCAUGAUCCCCAGAAAUACUUGUUACCAGGAACACAACAUUAUGGCUAAACUACUUAUUGAAUUUUGAAGGAAGCAAUGAUAAUAUUUUAUCAGUCUCAUCAAAGGAACAUACCACCGAUCCCGAGAACAUGGUAUACACAUGGUUCGACAAAUAUUGCAUUUUUAUUUAUUUAUUGCUGUCCAAGCUACCAAAUUUAACACGCCACCGAUUCAGGGAACAUGACAUGCUACUGCAGGUAGACUAGACUUAUAUUCAUUAUGACAUAUUGAACAAAGGAAUUACAAUGGCAUGAAACAUAAGGAAGGAAACAAGAAUCAUCACUCAUCCAUUUCUGGUUCACAUGCUACUGAUCCAGAGAAUAUAGCAUGCUAAUCCAUAGUGGUUAAGUGAUUGGUCUGGAUGGGAAGACACUUGGCACAAAAUCAGCAUCUAACACUUGAUGAUCUAGGUGUAUCAAAGUAAAUGCAGAAAAUGAUGGUAGUUUUCUAGUGUACUAGGGAUUUGAGCACUCAAAACUAAUAACUUUCACUAAUUUCAGCAAAGCAAGCAGUAUGUAGAUCACUAGUUUACAAGGCAUUCACAAUUCAGUUCACAUAUUCACAACAAGCACCAUACCAAAGGUGAAUUUCAGCUUGACAAUAAGUAAUAACUGGCUCAAGCAACCCAACUAGCAAUUGAUUUCAGCUUGUAUCAAUAGAUGAUAUAUUCAUAUUGGGGUCAUGAAAUAGCUCACCAGGCUUUAUGAAGUAGAACUCGCUCGAUGAUCUCACAUCUUCUUGCAUCGCGACUCCUCUCCUUUUGCUUCUCUAUCCUCAUGCUCUCUAUCCUCGUGCACGCUCCAGCUUUUCUCUUCCUUGUAUGUGCCCAUUGCUUCUCCUCUUCACCAUGCUCUAAAUCCACCGCGGUCCCAAGGAAUGUCACCUCGAACCUGGUCAGCAUGUAGUGAACGGUGCAGUAGCGAAAACCUGAAAGAGCACUCGACAAAAGAGAUACAAGUGAAAGGGGUAAUGCCCUCUAAAUCAUCAAUAGAGUACCCAAUUACAUAUGCAUAGCUAUAAAGAACAUGGCGAGUAUGAUAGGAAUCAGCAAGCUCAAUACUAACAUGAGGAUGAUAUUUAUCAUUAAGCAUAGGUUUGGCAUGAGGAAAAUAAGUGUGAUCAUCAUUAAUAUGAGCAAUGCCACCAACAGUAUAUGUAUCAUCAUAUCCAAGCAAACACUUCUUCAAAUCUACUUUAACAGAUAACAUCAUGCAAUGCAAGGUAGUAGGAAACAAUUCAUAUGGACGCAUGUCAUUGAGAGGAUUAGAUAAACCUGCUAUAUCACGCUCUUGGAUGACGAUGGGCAAAUGAAUUUCUAGUUCUUCAUCUUCAACUACAGGAGCUUCUUUUACUUCUUCAGGAGUGAUAGGCAAUGGAUCUUCGUCUUGAUCACUUGGGCAUUCAAGCUCUUGGUCAUCUUGUUCCUUGUCUUCUAGUUCAUCUUCUUCAAUCUGAGAUAUCUCUUCCUCAAGGCACUUACUAUCUUCCUUGGCUGGAUAUGAAGGUGUUGGAACCUCAGAUGUAUCAAGGGUAAUCCCAGAAACACUCAGCUCAAGCUAUGAAGAAAUAGUGCUGCCAGCGUUGAUGUUCUUCUCAAUCUUCCUUACUUCUUCAACUAGCUCUUUUCCACUCUUGAUCUUCUUCAUUUCCUCUAGUAUAACCUUCCUAAUAGGAUCAUCCUCGGCACUCCAAAUGAACUCGAGACUAAGCAAUGUGAGCUUGUCUGUAUCAUCAAAUUCAUCUUGUGUGGGCACUUGCACAUGAGAUUGCUCGACGGUUGCUGGAGUUGUUGGUUGACCAAAUGGAGUACCAUUUAACUCCAUUGGAAACAUCUCCUGGUGUUGAGGUAUAUGAGUAGGAGCUGAAUAAAUCUAUUGUGGAGCAUAGUUGUGGCUCUCCUCAUUGUACCUAAAUCCCUGCAUAUGAUUACUAGAAGCAAACAGUGAGAUCUCAGGGUUGUUGCUCCUAUAUGACAUAUUCUGGUUCUCAGGCCACCCAUAUGAGUAAUUGUUUUGGUAUGAGCUAGGCUGUGGGGCGAAGCUCAUGCCAUAACAAUCGGGAGAGUGAGAGUAACCACGCUGACAUUUAGUGGGUGAAUGUCCCUGAAAUCCACAAAUAUGGCUUGUAUGAGCAACAUAAGGAUGACCUCUAGGAUAAGGAUCAUAAGAGCUAGGCCUAUCCUCAAAAACUACUUCUCGCUGCCGAGCUAAAUCAUCUAAUCGAUGGGAAAUCUUACUUAUCAGUUCUUGAAUAGUUUACAUGCUGUUUAUAGUGUUCCUCGCAUCUCCGAGACAAUCUAAAUAAUAUGCCAUAACCGAGCAGAUAGCUCUAACCUGCAAAAGGAAAAGAAAACAAAAAGAUACUAGCUAGAACAAGGGUUAGUGGUUAGAGAUAUAUCACAAAUAUAUGGCACAAACUAGAAAAAGAAGAAAAACCUAGUCUAUAGCCUAACACAAUCGCUCGACGCUAGUCCCCGGAAACAGUGCCAAAAUGAUCAAUUGAAGGUACAUCGGGAUAUUUUGCCCGAACUGCGAGUGUCGUGUUCCCCACAGGGACAAGGCGACGACGACUAUGCUCGGCUAAAUCUAGGUAACACAAUUUUAAGAGACGGAUGCAGAAAAUAAAACCUAAACUAAACAAGGUUGACGACAAACAAAAUGAAAAAAGAAGCAGAGGGAUAUAAAGAUUUGAACUUGCUUUCUUAUUGGUAUUUCAGAUUACUACUGACAGCAUAGACUAAAACAAGAGGGAAGUAACAUGACAAGGACACAUAUAUAACUAUCAUACAUAUAACAGAGGGAAGAAACAAUAAUAUGACAGGGACAAAAAUAUAUCAAAACACGAACAUAUAUAUUUAUAUCACAGGUACAAAGCUAACACGGAUACCACAAACUGAACACUAGACACCAACAGGAAUAUAAAGCACAAGUAUAGGGCUCACAUCACACUAGCCAAUUCACGCUGACAAAUAUUAGUACAACAAUAAUAGACACAAGGAUUCAGACACUAGAAACCAAAUAUUGUAUAGUUUUACACAAGUACAUUGAAAUUGUAGCAGACCAUAAAACACAUGAAGGCACCAAUAAUGUGUGCAGAACAGUACACCAUAUUCAUCAUACUGAUUUUAGAAAUUCGUGAGAAGUAAAGAGAGAAAAGGGGAACAACAACAGUUGGGGUCCUAGAAGAAUACGGCAGCAAGAGGGGUUCAGAGCAGCGCUUCAGCGAGUGAGGAGCAGCAAGGGGCGCCGGCGAAGAGCAGCAGCAGGUUGGAGAUUAGAGUAGUAGCAGCAGCAGGGGCGUCAGGGAGAGAGAAGCAGCAGGUUGAGGCAACAGCAGCAAGGGGAUGCAAGGAGAAGGAGCAGCAGGAGCGUUGAGAGAAGAAGAAGGAGAAGAGCAAUAGCAGGGUUAGGAGUUCAGGGAAGAAGACAACAGCAAGAGGAGGAGUAGAAGGGCAGCAGGGACAUGGGGGAAGAGGGCAGCACGGGCGUUGGGCGCGCGAUGGAUGGAUGGGUGGUGAUGCUGGUUGUGGUGGAGUGGUGGAGCUGGUGGCGCACCGCCACGCCGGCCUGGCUGCGGUGAUGGCCGGAGGUGGAGAAGGAGGGAUGAGGGAGAGAGAUGUGUGCCAGGCUCACUUUGGAAAUGGAGGCUGCUAGGGAUUUUGAUCCCCUCCCUGAUCUGCCAUUUUGCACUUUUUCCCUCCUUCUUCUCUUCUUCAGCCUCAAGUAGAUCCCUUUCUUCUUUAGUUUUGGCCCUCCAUUUCUUUAAUUCUUCAUACUCGAG
rnacentral:lncRNA from 1 species